UACGGAGGGGGCUAGCGUUGUUCGGAAUUACUGGGCGUAAAGGGCGUGUAGGCGGCUUGCCAAGUCAGGCGUGAAAGCCCCGGGCUUAACCUGGGAACUGCGUUUGAGACUGGCAGGCUAGAGGUUGGUAGAGGGGGGUGGAAUUCCCAGUGUAGAGGUGAAAUUCGUAGAUAUUGGGAAGAACACCGGUGGCGAAGGCGGCUCUCUGGUCCACGACUGACGCUGAGGCGCGAAAGCGUGGGGAGCAAACAGG
rnacentral:rRNA from 1 species